rnacentral:lncRNA from 1 species
AGUGCAGAUCAUAAUUAUAAUGAAUGGUUAGGUUUGAAAGCUUUAACAGACCAGAUAUAUUGUCUUUUAAGUCAUUUUAUUCCCCCAACCAACAUGUAUUUUAUGCUUACUACCUGGUCAUGGUACUAUGUAAGGNUGUGCAAAACUUUGUAUGAGCCUAUGUUUAACUUUGUAAGAAAUUGCUAGACUUUUUCAAAAUGGCUACACCAUCUGGCAUUCCCACCAGCAGUGUUCCGUACCAUCACCAACACUUGAUUCUGUCAGUUUUUCAUUUUAGUGGUUGUAUAGUAUUGUCUCAUUAUGGUUUAAUAUCCAUUUCCUUGCUGAUUAUUAAUGGAUCUUCUCAUAUGUCACAUAUCUUCUUUUGUGACAUCUGUUGGAAGUUUAAAAACUUAAGUUGAUUUGUUAAUAUGGAGCUGCAAGAGUUCAUGCUCUCAUUACAAAGUUUUUACCAAAUGUGUUUUGCAAAUUUUUGUCCCAGGCUGUACAUUGCCAUUUUGUUCGCUUAACUGUGACAUUAAAACAGCAGAAGUUUUUAACUGUGAAAUCCAUUUUGUUUCCUGCAUUUUGUGUCAUGUUUAAAAAAUCUCUGCCUGACCCAGUGUCAAAAAUAUUCUCUCCUGUGUUUUCUUCUAGAAGUUCAGUAGUUUUCACUACCAUCUCUACAAUUUAUUCCUAGUUAAUUUUUGUGCACGGUGUGAGUUCAGGGUCAAGGUAUAUUUUUAUCCCACAGAUACCUAAUUCUAACACCAUUUAUUUUUAUAAGAUUAUUGUUUUGCUAGUGAAUUGCCUUGGCACCUU